CACUCUAUAGUUUAAAAAACAUGAACUUUGGAAGUUCAAGAUUGAAAUUAAUUUCAUGGAUUGA
rnacentral:tRNA from 1 species